GAGACGACGGUCAGCUCAUUCUUUGUGAUUUUUAGUCGAAUUCAAAAUGUAGUAGGAUACAAUUUUUUAGCUGACGGUCCCGCCGAAGGAUUUUACGUAUACUUAUAGGCAAGUUCUAAGUAAAAAUAUAUAUUUAAGCAAGUGUUGGAAGAAUUAUCUGGCCAGUCUGGAGAAGGGGACUGCACUUUAAAAUAUUAAACAGCCAUUAUGCGGAGAUGAAGCACAUUCAAAAUAACUUUUCAGCUAUUAAUGCUGUAUUAUUGCCCAACUGGAUUAGAUUUAUGGGGUUUAAGUCGAGCUUGAAUUGGUUGUUGUCUUAAUCAAAGAACAAAUUGACUUGAAAUGCUUAGCUCUUAUAAUUAUUUCCUACAACUUCUUAGAUUUUGCAUAGAUAUAUUCAUUAUCUAUAUGCAAAGGUAUCUUGCAUUUAUGCAAAUAAUUUCUUUAUUUAUCACUGAAAAACUAAAACUAAUAUUGUUUUUGAUCGUCGCGUCUUGUAUUCUAUUGGUAUUGGUUUUACCGCUUAGUAACUUACAGUGCGAAUUUUCUUCAAUACCGAAACUUCUUUCUGGUAAAUCUAAUAAAUUUCUAUAAAUAUUUUAGCAAUAGCUCGCGCAUAGUCUAUCCAAUUGUUUUGGUAAUUCAGAGGCUUGUAGUGAGAGUUUUAAAACUUUGUAGCAAUACGAAGCGCAAUGUUUUUUCUUUUAUUAUUUCUUCAUAUUUAUAAUAUUUUAAAUACUCGUUUAUAGCAGUAUGUUGCACACUCAGAUUUUCGAUUUCCUUGAAAGAAAUUGGUAAUGUAUUGUCUUAAUAAUGCAUUU